ACGGCGAGUGAGCGGGAAAGCCCAAAUUUUAAAUCGACAAAUGUCGAAUUGUAAUUUGAAGAUGUACUCUCCGCGUUUCGAAAUGGGAAAAGUCUCUUGGAACAGGGCAUCAUAGAGGGUGACAAUCCCGUGGCUAACCAUUUCGCAAACGCCUUGUGUGAGGCAUUCAAAGAGUCGAGUUGUUUGGGAUUGCAGCUCAAAACGGGUGGUAAAUUCCAUCUAAGGCUAAAUAACGGCAAGAGACCGAUAGCGAACAAGUACCGUGAGGGAAAGAUGAAAAGAACUUUGAAAAGAGAGUUAAAUAGUACGUGAAAUUGUUGAAAGGGAAACGAUUGAGGCCAGUCGUGCUGGCAGAAAAUCAGUCAAGCAAAGUUGUUUCUCUGCGAAGCGAUAAUGAUUGAUGCACUUUUCUGUUUGGCAGGUUAGCAUCAGCUUUGUUUGUUGUAAAAUGGUGGUCGGAAAGUGACUCUUUUUGAGUGUUAUAGCCGGUUACAGAUGCAACAGAUGGGGCUGAGGAUUGCGGCAAAUGCCUUUGGGCUACGAACCUUCUUUCUGAAUUGUCUGGCAUGGAUCGACAGCAUGCUGACGGUUUAUGAACCGGAUAUUCAAUAAAGUAGAGUUUGGUAAAUUUGGCAAGGAUGCUGACGUAAUGGCCUUAAACGACCCGUCUUGA
rnacentral:rRNA from 1 species